GAGAUUCAAGGAGAUAAAGUGAAGGUAAUUCUAGGUUUGUGCUCAAUUGAGUGUGCAGGACCUUAGACUAAACAUUUGUAAGUCUUUAAUUCAAGUAUUGGUUUUGAAAGAACAAAUGAGAGCAAUGGAAUUUACAAAAGAAGCUUUUGUUGCAAGACAAAGUCUGAAGACUAAGAGAGUCUGAAGAGCCUCAGAAGCUGAAGUUCAUCAGAUUCUGAAGAUUGGAAGCUGGAGUUAGUUAAAAGUUGUUAUUCUGAAUACACAUGAUUGUAGAAGAAAUGGAAGUCUGGAGCAACGACUAUUUCAGAGGAAUUAGAAGGCAUUGGAUACUUAUCCUCUGAAGAGCGCAAGAAAAUGACAUAGUACAAUUGGAAAACCACUAAUCCAUUACUCCACUCUCCAUGUCUGCAAUAGUACAAGAUAACAACUGUGUCUAAGCUGGGUAUUCUCGAUACAAGCAAUGAAUUUGAAAAUUUUCUCUCCUAGGACAAUAACCAAAUCAAGCAAAAGAUCAUUGGUGGUGAUCAAGCUUCACAACGACUCUUUUUGAUGUGCUAACAAUCAACAACGUCUCUUUCACACGUCUAUAUAAAGGAGUGUAGACUUGAAGAUUGUAAGAGACUCAAGAACAAUUUAGAAGUGCCAAAACUCUACUGAAUUGUUGUCACAUCAAAGUUCACUUAAAGUUUCAUAAUAACUUUCAUAUAUUAGA
rnacentral:lncRNA from 1 species